CCCUUAGAUGUUCUGGGCCGCACGCGUGCUACACUGACCGGCGCAACAAGCUUUUUUCCUUGGCUCGACAGGCCUGGGUAAUCUUCGAACGCCGGUCGUGAUGGGGAUAGAUCCUUGCAAUUUUUGAUCUUCAACGAGGAAUUCCUAGUAAAUGCGAGUCAUCAUCUCGCGUUGAUUACGUCCCUGCCCUUUGUACACACCGCCCGUCGCUCCUACCGAUUGAAUGGUCCGGUGAAGCGUUCGGACCGUGGCCUUUGGACGGUUCGCCGUCUGUUGGCUGCGGGAAGUUCGUUAAACCUUAUCAUUUAGAGGAAGGAGAAGUCGUAACA
rnacentral:rRNA from 1 species